rnacentral:lncRNA from 1 species
AAAGAGAAGUUAAACAUACGACAUGAACUGAAUUAACUAGUGCGCAUGACUAGUUAAAAACAAAGUUCCUUUGACAAUAAAUUUCUAAUUAAAUCAUGGCUGCACCUCGGCAGCGCUAUUGUGAGAGUGAAAGUGGACGUGCUGCUACUCCCCUCAUUCCUAACAUGUAUCAAGUACCUGCAUUGAGUAAUGCAAGAGUGAGAUGACACAUCUCAGCAAGUAAAAUAAUAUCAAACUGUUUAACCACAUAAGAACAUUGUUUUACCACCACUUGAUUCCACAACCUUCUUAUUACGAAGGUGCAGCACGUAUACAACGUACAACACACCUAGUCACCACACCUCGCAGGUAGAAACCACAAUAGUAACAUAGUAAUGUCACACUUCAUAUAUAUAUACCUCAUGAGUGCAAAUGUCUGCAAAUGCAAGGAUGACUUCUGCCUUCAUACCUCUAAGGAUAUGAAGCCGCAUCGUACCCCUCCUCGAGCAACGUACGAUGCUAAAAAUGUACGGGUACGGUCGAACCAUAAGAUCAUGACAUAACUUUAAAAUGCAAGAUGGAUGAUGCGAUGUGCAUGUCAUGCCUACAACACUUCAUAUAACGUGAUUCAAAAAGAUACUUCAACUUUAUCCAAGAUGGGAAUCAACCACAUAUAUCAUUAACAAAUUAUGAUCAUCCACAAUAUUAGACAAUUGAGAAUUAAUACUUCCAAACAAAUAAACUUCAUCAUAGAAUUCAAUGAUUAACAUAAUUAAAACUUAUGCAUACUCAAUGACAGGGAAUAGGAUGCAAACCAAACGGUAGCAACCACCACUGUAUUUACUUGCCUUUACCGGAAGUUCGGGCAAAUCCCUAAGUACGAUCCGGAAGUCCACCACCUGUUUUUGACACACAACUUAGUGCACCAAUUUCACAUAAUCAGGCUCAUAAGCGACGCUGCACCUACGCACAAACUCAAACCCCGCCGCGGGUUACAUCUCUCCCCACACCCACCAAACUGCAGCGGGGCUGCUUAAUAUUUUCAUAACUUUAAAAUUAUGACAGCAGUGGUAACAAACAAAAACUCCAGAGGCAUCUACAUAAAAUUCCCCACAAGUUUUGUACACAAUUUAUAAUUAAAUUCCAACAUCUAAUUAGCCCAAAACAGUCCACAAGAUGAACCCUGUAAUCUGUUUUUUGUCUUUUGGACAGCGACAUACCCGGAUUCAAACAGCGAUAUCUUUUAAAAUAUAAUUCCAAAUCAAGCGUAUAAGUACUCAUUGGAAAGAUAAGACAAAGCCCUACAUUAUUAUCAUACUGGUUAACACUAAUUACCCACGAAAAAUGCCCAGAAACUGCUAAUACUACUUUUGUUCACCCACCUGAAAAUCUGUUUUUUUGGACAGCAACAUAACCGGAUUCAAACAACGAUAUCUCCUAAAUUAUAACUCCGAAUCGAGCGCAUAAGUACCCGUUGGAAAGUUAUGACAAAGCUCUACAUGAUUCACCCACUGAUCCCCACUAAUUACCCACGAAAAAUUCCCAGAAAUCCCUAGAACUACUGCUGUUCGCCACCCACAAAAUUUCAGGACAGCACCUCUACCGAUUCGGAUAGGUAAACAUAUAAUCAAUUGGAUUACAACACAAUUAAACAAGAUACAAUCUCAAAAUCACCUUGAAUCCUCCCCCUUUCCUCCCUUCUUCUUCCCUCCACCAAAAUCCAAUUGGAGACAUGCACCAACGCGACGUAGAUCCGAGCGAGAAAGGAAUGGCACCUUGGAGAGAAGGGCUUGAGGAGGGGGCGGCUAGGGUUUGAUGGGGGAGGUGGGGUGGCGGCUGCAAAUGGGUGUAGGAGUGAGAGGGGCGUCCUCC